rnacentral:lncRNA from 1 species
AGGGGGGCGCGGAGGGGGCGCGGAAGGGGGGCGCGGAGGGGGCGCUGUCCGCGGUGCUGACUCUGCCCGCGGCCGGCGCGACGGCGACAGCGACGGCGACAGCGGCGACAGCGGCGGCUCCGACGGCUCCUCCCGCCGCCGCCCCGCCGAGGGCUAUUUAUUGGGGCCGCCCCGGCCGGCCACUCCUCCCGGCGCUGCCCUGCCCGCCCUGCGUGCGAAGGGGGGGCCGGGGUCUCCCCCCGGAGGGUGCCGCCCUCCCCUCGGCGUGGGGAGGGAGGGUUGGGGGCCGGCGGGUCCCCCCAAGUUAUUUUGGGGUCCUGAUGCUGAAGUGGUGGUCGUGGAUCUGCCGGCUGAGCCGUCGGGUUCCCGGCUGGGGAAGGGUGCUGGGUGUCAGCUCUGCGGGAUGGUCCCGUGCGAGGUGCUGGGGUCACCCCAUUUGUGAGUAAUCCGUCCCCAAACUGUGUCUGCAGGUAGCUCGGCAUGGGCUUCAUCUCUGCAGUGGGGCAGCCCUAUAAACUGAGGUUUCUCGGGGUAUUGAGAUAUCCAUAUCGAGACAGCACAGCAACGGGGUCAGUAAACUUAAAUAUAUGGCCCUAGCAGGUAACUUCAUGCCAACAGCACACUAUGAAACACCACCCUAGUAAGGUCACUCUUUUGCAGUGCAGGGGGGUGAGGGACACUGCCACUUCUGACUGGCCUAGAGUCUUUUUCUUUAGGGAGACCAUCUUCCAAGACUUGCCCUCCUAUAGUUGUAGGUUGGUGGGAGGGAGCAGAGCAGCUUGCCAAAGAUCUUCCUUCUGUUGCAGGGUGACAUGGAGUUGUACCUGUACUAAUUAUCAGGUCCUCAUUAGGAUGGCUGCAUGACCUCGGUACUCUGAAGCUCAGAAACUGCCUUUCUGCAAUGUUCCUCACGUGCUGCAUUGAGUUAGCAGGGUGUGAUGGCCAAGGUGAUCGGCUGCCAGAGCAUUGCCAAAUACAGGAGGAGCAGGUACCUGGCAGGGCCCUGGCCACGACAAGCGGAAGUGCAGUGAAUCGAGCCUGCACCUAUCCUUUGUGCUUGGAAAGACAACAGGGUGCUAGUGACGCAAGGACGCUGGAAGGAGACAAAGCUCCCUUCCUUCAAGGACCACAUGGAUGUCCAGCACAGACCUCUCAGCCUGGCAGCUCCUGCCAGCCCAGCAGCUCCCAGGGGCAGGGAGAAUGA